rnacentral:rRNA from 1 species
UACAGAGGGUGCGAGCGUUAAUCGGAAUUACUGGGCGUAAAGCGCGCGUAGGCGGCUUUGCAAGUCGGGUGUGAAAUCCCCAGGCUUAACCUGGGAACUGCAUUUGUGACUGGCGGGCUAGAGUAUGGCAGAGGGGGGUAGAAUUCCACGUGUAGCAGUGAAAUGCGUAGAGAUGUGGAGGAAUACCGAUGGCGAAGGCAGCCCCCUGGGCCAAUACUGACGCUCCAUGCACGAAAGCGUGGGGAGCAAACAGG